UUGAGCUUUAGCUGUCUUCUAACAGGAAUCCAUCACUUGAAGAUCAAGCUUGUGACCGAAUUUACCGAGUAGGGCAGCAGAAAGAUGUUGUCAUACACAGAUUUGUUUGUGAGGGAACAGUAGAAGAAAAGAUCUUACAGCUCCAAGAAAAAAAGAAAGAUUUGGCCAAACAAGUUCUAUCAGGGUCUGGAGAAUCUGUCACCAAGCUCACCUUGGCUGACCUCAGAGUCCUUUUUGGCAUCUAACCUCCUGUGGAUAAGGGCUCAGAAUAGCACCAUUGCUGGUUUGUAUUAGGAUCUGGGAAUAACAACCUAACCAUAAGCCUUGAACUCUGUUCUUUGCAUUUCAAUUUCACCGUCAAGCCUUUCACCUUCCUCAAAAUGAGGCAUAAUCUUAUCCCCAGAAUUGAGGAGGGGUUAUGUUAACCAAUUAGUUAACCAAUUAUGUUAAUAAUUUAUUUAAUGAGUGAUAUGGAAACCAAUUGAUUUUUUUAGAUAAAAGAAUAUGUUUUAGAGUUGGAUGAUUUUGGAAAACAACUCUGGCAGAAUUGUAUAUAAGCUUCAGUAAAGUUCAAAAAGCGGGCCAGGUGUGGUGGCUCAUGCCUGUAAUCCCGACACUUUGGGAGGCCAAGACAGGAGGAUGGCUUGAAGCCAGUAGUUCAAGACCAGCCUGGGCAACACAGUAAGACCCCAUCUCUAUGAAGAAUAAAAAAAUGAGCUAGGCGUGGUAGUGCACACCUGUAGUCCUAGCUACUUGGGAGGCUGAGGCAGGAGGAUCCCUUGAGUCCAGCAGGUUGAGGCUGCAGUGAGCUGUGAUUGUGCCACUGUUUUCCAGCCUGGGCAAUAUAGUGAGACCCUGUCUCAAAAAAAGGAAAAAAAAGCUCAAAAAGUUCUGUGUUGCCUUUCUCUUCUUCGCUGAUGAUGGGAGAACCAGUUGCUACCUUCUCUAACACAGGCUCCAUCCUAUCUCUUCAUCUCUUCUUGCCAGUGAUGUUGCUCCUGUAACCAUCUUUUUAUGGGUGGAGCAGAGAGUCAAUCCCUGCAGCCAG
rnacentral:lncRNA from 1 species